rnacentral:rRNA from 1 species
GGAUGCGAUCAUACCAGCACUAAAGCACCGGAUCCCAUCAGAACUCCGAAGUUAAGCGUGCUUGGGCGAGAGUAGUA